UACGAAGGGGGCUAGCGUUGUUCGGAAUUACUGGGCGUAAAGGGCGCGUAGGCGGCCUUCUAAGUCGAACGUGAAAUCCCCGGGCUCAACCCGGGAACUGCGUCCGAUACUGGAAGGCUUGAAUCCGGGAGAGGGAUGUGGAAUUCCAGGUGUAGCGGUGAAAUGCGUAGAUAUCUGGAGGAACACCGGUGGCGAAGGCGACAUCCUGGACCGGUAUUGACGCUGAGGCGCGAAAGCCAGGGGAGCAAACGGG
rnacentral:rRNA from 1 species